GCCGAUAAUUCUGAUUGCCACAACAAGACAGUACGUCAGUUAUGUCACUGCCAUUGUCAUAACCGAAAUAUUCUCAAUUCUCGAAAUUAUUAAAAUAUAAUUGUAAUAUCAUUGAUUAACUAAUUAAUAAAUCCCAAGUACUCCCAGGCACAUUCUGAACAAUUAAUACCACUACGUAAAUGUUUUACCAACUAUUAUACAAUAAUGAGACUUCCUUCAUUUUACAAAAGCCCUUUGGGAUAAACAUAAUAAAUCGAUAGUAAUGAGGAUAUACAUUAUAAAUACUUCUCCAAUUUGUAUUAUACACUUUCCGAUCUAUCUUCGUAAAGCUGAUAUCAACAAUUCUACACUGACAGUACAACAUAACGAUACCUGAGCAAGGGGAUAUAACAGAUCACUGUAAAAAGACCACUGUUGAGAUCAAUAAUGUAGAACACAUCUAACCUUCUAUUAGAAAUUUCUUGAACUGAAAGCCUACAUAUUUGUACUUAUGGAUAAUGACAUACAUAUUAUUUAUUUACACUGAAAAACAAUUAUACUUCUGGUAAGUCAUACAAGUGACACAAUAUACAGCAAUCUUAAGAUAUUCAUAACCAAUAAAUAACACAUAACAAUCUAA